CAUAAUUUAGUUAGAAAUAAUUUUGUCGAUGACCGUAACGCGCGCGCGUGAGUGGUAUGUUUAUGUGCAUGUAAUUAUAAAGGAAUACUAUUUGUUUUAAUUGUCGCAUUCUGCAUAUUUGAAUAAAAUAUGUAAAAUAUGUAAAAAACAAAACAAAAGAAACAAGAAAUGCAAAUAAAGCGAAUACACUUUGUGACGGCCGGAUUGCAUAAGAUGCGAUGUUAACUUCACGUAAUAAAACUCUAUCAAAAUUCUAAGAAUUAGGAAAAGGUGAAGAGUAAGUUGAACCGAGAUUAAAGUUAAUCUACGUUGAUGGAAUCGGGCAUAAAGAAAUGAAUUUACCGAGCAUAGCAACAUUCCCAAAAAGUUUUAAGUUGGAAUAUUCUAUCAAUCGUAUGGAUAAAACAAAUUCGAAUAAGUUAUCAAGAACAUGAAUAGAGAACUCCAACGUCAGAGAGACAAGUGCUUUCGUUGUGAACUGAAGACUACUCUGAUGAUUUAGCACAAAGUGUUGAUACCUGUGUUCUUUAUUUGCAUGGUUAUAUGAAGACCAAUCAGAGCAUGCCAAGAAGCAGUCCUUCAGGAUUUUAUCUCUAGCUAUAGAAACAAUAUUUACGAAGCAAGGAAAGGUAAACAAAUGUAUCUGCCUUGCGUUCCGAGACUACCCUGCGUCAAAUCCGGCUCGCAAUAAUUGGGGGAAGAUUGCAGAUAAACCAGCUCGCUUCUCU